UAAAAACCUCAGUUUCUCAUCUUCUUCCUCUCUUUUGUUCGGUUCCAGGCCUUCUUCCUCAAAAUAAUUUCGGUUUCUUCUCCUUCCCAAGCUCUACCCAUUCAAGAGUUCUUCCGGCUCAAGACUUCCAACUGAAAUCAAAGUCCUCUUUAAAUUCCCCUCUCCUCCUUCUUCUUCUCUUCCAAUUUGGACUUGAACAAAAGGGCAGACCUAGGGUUUCGGCUGAUCUUGACUUGGGCUCGAGCAUUUGGGGAUUCAAUUCCUCUUCGAAUUUCAGGUGGUCUUGCUAUCUCCUUAGUGAUGAUGGAUAUGUAUUUCUUCCUACUACACACCGUAUCUUCUUAAGACCUUGCUCAGAGAUGGCAUCAUAUUAUAUGCCUGGUAUGACCUUCUCAGCUCAAUAAUGGAACCAACAAUGAUAAGCACUGAUGUGAAUCCAAGUGCAAAUCCCUUAUUGAUACGCCUUAAAUAGUGAUCAAACAAGGUUGAAGAGGUAGCCAAUAUACUUAACAGUAGUCCUCCCCAGAAACGUGUUGAGGCUUGAAUCUUUGUAUGUAAUUCGAACUCGAAUUUUUAUGUGGCCGAGAAUUGGCUUGAAUUUGCACUUGCAUAUGGUUUGAACUCUUGUAUAUAAUUCAAAUUCGAAUUUGUAUAUAAUUGAGCUCUUGUAUUAUUGAAUUCAUAUGUAACUGAACUCGUGUGUGCCUUGAAUCCAAACUUGUGUAUGACUAAAGAACCUUAUAUGCCUUGAAUUCGAGCUAUUCUUGUACAUGAUUGA